rnacentral:rRNA from 1 species
AUUGAACGCUGGCGGCAGGCUUAACACAUGCAAGUCGAACGAGUUGCGGACGGGUGAGUAAUGCUUGGGAAUCUCGCUUAUGGAGGGGGAUAACUACUUGAAACUGUAGCUCAUACCUCGUACCAUCAGAUUCGCCCACGUGGGAUUAGGUAUUUGGUGAGGUAAAGGCUCACCAAGCCGACGAUCUCUAGCUGGUCUGAGAGGAGGACCAGCCAAACUGGGACUGAGACACGGACCAGACUCCUACGGGAGGCAGCAGUGGGGAAUAUUGCGCAAUGGGGGCAACCUGACGCAGCCAUGCCGCGUGAAUGAAGAAGGCCUUCGGGUUGUAAAGUUCUUUCGGUAGCGAGGCGUUAACUACAGAAGAAGCACCGGCUAACUCCGUGCCAGCAGCCGCGGUAAUAC